rnacentral:tRNA from 1 species
AAGAUUUUAAGUUAAUUUAAACUUUAAACCUUCAAAGUUUAUAAUAUAUUAUAUAAAUAUAAAUCUUA